rnacentral:rRNA from 1 species
GAUGAACGCUGGCGGCGUGCCUAAUACAUGCAAGUAGAACGCUGAAGGAGGAGCUUGCUUCUCUGGAUGAGUUGCGAACGGGUGAGUAACGCGUAGGUAACCUGCCUGGUAGCGGGGGAUAACUAUUGGAAACGAUAGCUAAUACCGCAUAAUAGCAGUUGUUGCAUGACAACUGUUUGAAAGGUGCAAUUGCACCACUACCAGAUGGACCUGCGUUGUAUUAGCUAGUUGGUGGGGUAACGGCUCACCAAGGCGACGAUACAUAGCCGACCUGAGAGGGGGAUCGGCCACACUGGGACUGAGACACGGCCCAGACUCCUACGGGAGGCAGCAGUAGGGAAUCUUCGGCAAUAGACGGAAGUCUGACCGAGCAACGCCGCGUGAGUGAAGAAGGUUUUCGGAUCGUAAAGCUCUGUUGUAAGAGAAGAACGAGUGUGAGAGUGGAAAGUUCACACUGUGACGGUAGCUUACCAGAAAGGGACGGCUAACUACGUG